ensembl:lncRNA
CACAGCACACAAAUGUUCCUCUGGAUGAAAAAUUCUCAAUCUGUGAUCAAACAGGAAGUAAUAAAACACGCUUGGAUCUGUCCAACACACAGCAGGCCUCCUGAAAGCUCUAACCGUCAGAGAUGGCUUCUUCUUCAUAUCUUCCUAGGGGCGAAUUAUACUCCAGAACCUUCUGAGCACGACACGUCCCCGUACGGUCUGGGAGCGUGCACUUAUUCAGCUCGUCAGCGCUUACCGACUAGUGCGCAAAGCGGUCGUCUACUUCCGCACGAACGUUUUACGGCGAGUACGAUCGACAGAAUCCGAGCAAGCGUCGGACGCGUGAAAAUAUUACAGACGUGAUCGUUUCUUCAGGGUUUAAAGGCAGAGAGACGGAUAAAACGUACACGAUUUCCGACGUCACGUCCUGGAUAUCGGUGGAAACUUGUGGGUACUUCAAGUGUUUUCACCGCUGCUCCGUUAAGCAAAUUUCACUUCUGCGGUACAGACUGAAACGGAUCCUGUCAGUAUUCGAAAUUAUAGCUAAAUAAGAGUCGUGUCAGGAAUUACGAUAUUAUAAUUAAUAUCACUAAACGACAUCACAAUUCACAACGACAACCACCCCAGUACCCCACACGGUACCGUGUGGAUUAGGGAAUGCUGAACGGAUUGUGUAAGCUUCAUUAUUUCUGCUUGUGAAAGAAAACGUCGAAACGAUGCGUCUUUAAUAAGAUUUUAAAAUGCUGGUAUUUUGUGAGCAGACGUAAAUAUCGUGAAGCAAAUCGCGUCUCGAGUUGCGCAAACGUCUCAGAGUUCUGUGAUGUUAUUUGUGGCCAAAGAAAACACAUACACAUAUAUAUACACACACAUCCCAUGUCUGUUGCAUGGUGAAAUCAAUCUCACACACACUGAAAACUUAAACACAGUCGUGCAGAUUACACGCAAAUGACGUACAACAUUCCAUCUGUGUGCGUUUUACACUUGGUAAAAAUCAUACGUCGGCCAAAACCGACCGAAACGAUUCCGCAAGAUCGACAAGUUCCGCUGGGUUUUUUACCCCCCCACGUGUGUACGUUGAUAAACGCCAACCUGCUGUGAUUUACCGCGAUAUGGCCGAUUUGCAUUCGGCCACGCCCACGAAACUCCAUAAAAGGGCAAAGCUCGCAGCGUGUUAAGAAUGACUACGCAGUAAAAGAGCGUCUCCUGAACGCUGGACCUUCCGUUAACGCAGCUCCAGUGCUUCCUCCUCGUAUAGGGCGCCAUUACUUUUCACCUAACCCGACAGCGAGUCUCACUCGGCUCCGUUUACGGAUUCGCUUUGGGAUGGCUUUGCUUUCGUCGUCGAUACGGAAUAACUGUACGUUUACACGAGACGUUGGUUAGUUUGGUGUUUUAUUCGUUGGGAUAAAGUCGAGCGCGUAAUCCGUGCAUUAAACCGCGGCAACGAGGAUCGUC